rnacentral:rRNA from 1 species
UACGGAGGGGGCUAGCGUUGUUCGGAAUUACUGGGCGUAAAGCGCGCGCAGGCGGCUCUUUAAGUCUACCCGUGAAAUGCCGGAGCUCAACUCCGUGCACGCCGGGGGAUACUGGAGAGCUGGAGACGAGUAGAGGCAAGCGGAAUUCCGGGUGUAGCGGUGGAAUGCGUAGAGAUCCGGAAGAACACCGGAGGCGAAGGCGGCUUGCUGGGCUUGGUCUGACGCUGAGGCGCGAAAGCGUGGGGAGCGAACAGG